CCCUGGGGCGAAGUGCCGGCGAGGGGCUCUCUGUGAGGAUCGAGGCCCCUGAGCCCAUGGGGUGGAAGGAGCCUGGGGCAGAGUGCUAGCAAGGGAGGGACGCCUCCCUUACACAACCACUCGGCUCACCCUGGCAACCAGACAGGCUCUGAACUGGAAAUAAAACCCUUCUUCUCGAUCCAGCCCCAACCCAGCUCCUACAGCACCCACAAUAGUCUGCUUCUCCAUCUGUGGCAGAGCAGCUACUUCGUGUUCUUGGAUGGCGUGUUUGACACCUCCCAGAAUAGACCACGCACGACCAGAGUCGCUGCACACAGCCCUGUUCUCGCGGGGAUUACUCAGUGGGGGGAAGGGGCUGUGAGGGGGAGGUCCCAUUUGCGGGGUGCCAGAGCUGAGCUCCCCAGCUCCCUCUCGUCUGAGUGCCUCUGGCCUAUGGUCUGGAGCCUGCAGCGGACACCAUGAGGCAGGGCCGGGGGUCCAUUCAGGGGUGGCGGGGCCACCAGCGGCACCAGAGGCAUGGGGUAGAGAGGCCGUGAUGCUGUGCCCCCUCCUCAGAACACAGCUGACAGAGCGCGGUGCAGGGAGAAGAGCCUGACUGUGCAGGUAGAGACCUGGUUCCAGCUCCCACUCUGUGCUUUGCUGCCUGUCAGUUGUGGAGCAGUUCAUGUAACCUUUUGUGCCUCAGUGGCCUCACCUGUAGCAGAGGCCAACAACUUCCCAGGGUUCCCAGGGUUUGUGAAGACUGGGUAAGGGAGGUUGAGGGGCACUGGGGUGCCCAAGUACAUGCUCCAGACAGUCAUCCCCUCUUCUCUGUGGGAGACACAAUCCAAGACCCCCCCAGUGGAUGCCACAAUGGACAGCAGCAAAUCUUAUAGAUUCUAUACUUUUCCCUACACAUUCAUACCUAUGAUGAAGUCUCAUUUAUAAAUUAGGCACAGUGAGAGAUUAACGAUAAUAAAUAGGACAAUUAUAACAAUAAACAAUUAAAAUCUUGAGCUUGGUGCCAUUAAGAAUAAAAUAAGCAUUACCUGAACAUAAGCACUGCGGUACCAUAGAGGCAACCAGAUGAUUUAGAAGGCUACUAAGUGAUAAAUGGAGGGGUAGCAUCCAUACCAUGGAUACACUGGACAAAGGAUAAUUCACACCUGGCUAUGACACACCAGGGUGGCUUGAGAUCUCAUCACACUAGUCAGAAUCAUGUGUAAUUUAAAACUUGUAAAUUGUUCAUUUCUGGAAUUUCCCACUUAAUAUUUUUGGGCAGUGGUUGACCUCAUAUAACUAAAACCAAGAAAAGCAAAACCAUGGAUAAGAAGGAGCCACGGUACCUGCUAGUUUGCCCGUCUUCCUUCUUUACCCCUGAGGCUUUCUGGAGAAAAGAAUAAAACUUUGCGGGUAAAGGGGUUAUAUUUUUUGUGCUUUUUUUCCUUUAAUUUAUUAAUUUUUGUGCUACUAGAAAUUGAACUCAGGGCCUUUGUACCCAGCUACAUCCCCAGCUGUUUAGUUUAAUUUUUUCUUUUAGCCUGUUUUUCCAGGUUUAGACCCUAACCUCGGUCCAAGUAUAACUGGAGCUUCCUUCCUAUGGAACAUGAACUGUUAACUUUUGCUGCAAACACCAGGAGAGUAAUGAAUUAUUGCUCAGAGUUGGGAACAAUUUAAUAAGUGAUCUGGAAACUAAGUAAAUUAUUUUCUCCCCCUUUAGUUUCCCAAUUUUAAAAAGCCAAAAGGGAAGAGAAGAAAAUGAAAUUUGGAUAACACUUAGGGUCUGAUAACUCUUUUUCACUUUUCCUAGUGAACUGCUCUGGGAUUUUCUUCUUUCUUUAAGUAAGUGUUUUAUUUUCCUUUGGAUUAACAUUAAAAAAUGCUCAAAAUCAUUAGCCACCCAGGAAAGGCAACUCAAAACUACAAUGAGGUUCCAUCUCACCCCAGUUAAGAUGGUGGUUAUCAGAAAGCCCUAAGCGAGUGCUGGUGAGGAGGUGGAGACGCUUGGUGCUGUUUCCUGAGAAAGAGGCAGCGUGGGUGCACAAGAGGAAGGAGCUGGUGUGGGUGCAGGGAUCCAGGGUCCGGUCCAGGGUCCGGUCCAGGCCCCGGUGACGCCUGGCUGAGUCCGGACCACACCGGCUCCUCGGCUCCUUCCGGCCCCAGCAUCCCAAGAAUGGGCUCAGAGGCCAGGGGUGAGCCUGCUGGAUGCAGGGGAGGGGCUGGGGCCGAGCCCAAGGUGCUGUCUUGGGGCGAGGGAGCAAAGAAGCCAGCUGCUUGGCAGGCGGAGUGGGGCGUGGCUGGUGGAUCAAGGGGGCCACCCCGCAGCCCAGCCGGCGGCUCUCCAGGGCUCAGCAGACACUGCACAGGCCUGGCCCCUCCAGCGGCUCCCUUCCUUCCCACCCAUCCACACAGCACCCAACUGUGAGGCUCUGUCUCCCUCUCCGCUCCGGAGCUCAGGACGCUGUGUCUAUGACCCGCCCUCCCAGGGGCUGUGCUGAGCUCAUCUCCUGCCUUCACAGAGAGCGAGCCUGGCAGCUGCUUUUCACCACUGCAACUUUCUCCUAGAGGGAUUCUGUUCCUUGGAGUCAGUCACAAGAAACCAGGCCAGAUGGCUCCUCUGACAGUGAGCGCCUUGGGAAAGACGACUCGGGUGCAGGCCUCCCAAGAGGCAGGCCAGGUGGGGAGAGAGCGUGUAGCUGGACCACUCCAGGCCGCGCAGGCUCCACAUCACAGGAGCGUUCCUCAGAGACACAUGCUCUGCAGACCAGAAGAGCGUUCUAACUUCAAGCGCUCGCCAAGUCCUCUGGGGGUUUCAAAGCACCCCAGGUUUCACUGCCAGCUCUCCCUGGCACUUCUGGCUCUCUGAGAGCGUAUCUCCUGCCAAGCUCUGCAGGAGGAGGGAGCUCCUGUCCCGCCCCCUGCAGGGUGGACUUCAUCCUGGGCCUUCUGUGUGUGGGUGCACGGAACUAGCUGCGGGGGGAAACUCUGAUGGCGUCGCUCAGUUUCGCUGAGUACUACUCCUCAGCCACAGGAUCUGAGCUGGUUCGUAGUCUCUGAUCCAGGUGCUCACUCCACAAUACAGAAAUAAAGCUGUGUCCUGAUCUUCACCUGUCAGCAUCCAAUGUCUAUUUCUCAAUUACAUCCACACGGGUGGAGGAAGAGGGAUGCCAUGUAUUGGAUGCCAGUUACUGUCGACCUCAAAACAUCAACGAACUCAAUCUGUCACUGUUCCAGGGACAUCGCUGUACGGGUACCUGGGAAUGUUCGUGCUGGCCUGAUGUCCAGAUCUGCUGACCCUGAUGCCCAAGAUGCCCGCAGUCUUCUGCUGCCACAGUCGUACAAGAUCUCCACCACUUAUCUCCUGGGGAAGAAUUCAAGAGGCCUCCAAGGUCACAGGUCCAGAGCGAAGACCACCUAUGAUCUACAGAAGAUCUAAGAGGGACAUUCCCUUUGAGUAAAUGCUCCAGAGUCUUCGAUAAGAGGGUCUGCAAUAAGUAUUUUGAAUUUAACUGUUGGAAAGAAAUCUGUGGCUAGCUUCGUGACUUGUAACCAACUCUUCUUGCUGUUACCAUAUGGUGUUUCCUUUAAUAAAAACAUUUUGCAGAAAUAAUGAUAAAAAAUUACUUUAAGCUUUUAUAAAAGUUAGAAGUUCCUGGCAAUAAAAACACCGCUUAUCAUCAUGUGGAUCGCUGUGUGUCUGGUAAACAGGAAAAAUUCUGCUCUCCUUGCUGUUCUACUUCUAAGAAAUAAUGAUGCAUUCUGUGUGUCAUUCACCUGUGGGCAUGUUCUGAUCCUCUCAUUCAGCGACCUCGCUUUAGAGCGUAGUCAUGUGCAUUCAUGGAGUCUGCUCUAUUCAUAGGAUCCCACUUAUUUUACAGUUUGCAAUAGAACAACAUAUUCUCUCUCUUCAGAACUCUGGCACACGGUGUCAGUUCUGACAAGUUCAGCUGCUGUCAAAAAUAAAAAGAGACCUGGC